rnacentral:rRNA from 1 species
AUUCUGACUGUGCGAAGGUAGCAUAAUAAAUUGUCUUUUAAAUGGAGGCUUGAAUGAAAGGUUGGACAAAGUAUCAUCUGUUUCUUAAGUAUUUAUUGAAUUUGACUUUCAAGUGAAAAGGCUUGAAUAAAUUAAAAAGACGAUAAGACCCUAUAAAUCUUUACAAUAAACAUGUUCUAUAUUUUAAUUUGUAAGUAUAUAAAAUGUUAAAUUUGUAUUUGUUUCGCUGGGGCGGCGUAGAUAUAUAAAUAAACUGUCUAUAUAUUAAAACCAGUAAUUAUUGAUUAAUAAAAUUGAUCCUUAAAAAGAUUAAAAGAUUAAGAUACUUUAGGGAUAACAGCGUUAUUUUUUUUGAGAGUUCUUAUCGAAGAAAAAGUUUGCGACCUCGAUGUUGAAUUAAAGUAUCUUUGUGGUGUAGCCGCUAUAAGAGAG